UACUUUGCUGACGAGCGGCGGACGGGUGAGUAAUGCUUGGGAACAUGCCUUGAGGUGGGGGACAACAGUUGGAAACGACUGCUAAUACCGCAUAAUGUCUACGGACCAAAGGGGGCUUCGGCUCUCGCCUUUAGAUUGGCCCAAGUGGGAUUAGCUAGUUGGUGAGGUAAUGGCUCACCAAGGCAACGAUCCCUAGCUGGUUUGAGAGGAUGAUCAGCCACACUGGGACUGAGACACGGCCCACACUCCUACGGGAGGCAGCAGUGGGGAAUAUUGCACAAUGGGCGCAAGCCUGAUGCACCCAUGCCGCGUGUGUGAAGAAGGCCUUCGGGUUGUAAAGCACUUUCAGUCAGGAGGAAAGGUUAGUAGUUAAUACCUGCUAGCUGUGACGUUACUGACAGAAGAAGCACCGGCUAACUCCGUGCCAGCAGCCGCGGUAAUACGGAGGGUGCGAGCGUUAAUCGGAAUUACUGGGCGUAAAGCGUACGCAGGCGGUUUGUUAAGCGAGAUGUGAAAGCCCCGGGCUCAACCUGGGAACUGCAUUUCGAACUGGCAAACUAGAGUGUGAUAGAGGGUGGUAGAAUUUCAGGUGUAGCGGUG
rnacentral:rRNA from 1 species